GCAGCAGCAAGUGAUGUCAUAGACAGGGCCUUUUGAACACCUGCUAAUGCUUUUAUAAAUGUAUGGUUUAAUGUAACUGUGCAACAACGUUGCAAUUAAAUGUGCUAUAUAAAUGAUAACAGUUACUCCGCCCACUCCAGUUGUAGACUACUGGUGGAGGCAAGAACACUUCACACAAUUUCCCCAGGAAUUGUAGCUUUUCUAGUUAUUCUUAUUAUAGCCAAAUUUGCCACCCUAACUCCUCCCACAGUUUUUACACUACAUAGACAAAAAUUUACCAAAACGUGCAGGUUGUUCCCGAUUGGAUUGCUAUUACUUUGUGGAACGUUUCACCGAAUGGUUUAUGGAAUAUCGUUGUUCUUGUGGCGAAAUUGGUCCCAUAGGAAUGAAUGGCAAAAUGUUCAAAACUAGAGUGGGAGCUGGCAAAAGCUCAAAAAUCAGGACAUGAUUUCUAAACUACCACCACUCCCUUAUUUUCAAGCCCACCUACACAAUUCUUAUAUCAAAACGUUCAGCUAUCCCUGCUGCCACUAAAAGCUAAGCUAAGUUUUCACAAUAUGACCAUUUGUUUGCAACUCACGCCGUCCAUUGAGAUUCAUUGAAACUCCGCUCUAGCCUGCUCAAACUUGAAGGGCAAUUUCUUAAUACUUCAGAGACAUACUAUGCAUCAAUAUAUAGGUCUGGGUCUUGUGAUUCUCACAAAAUAAAGCUCUUCGCUGUAGGAUGUAUAGCUUUUAAAAUACGACCGUUUGAAGAUGGCAACCGCCACAAUACUCUGACUUGUGCCAGGUUCGAGCAGUAAGUGAUGUCAUAGACAGGGCCUUUUG